rnacentral:lncRNA from 10 species
UUACCACGGGAAGAUGGUAUCAGUAUCACUACUUAACAGAUGAAGAAUCUAAUGCUGUGUGCCCAUGGACACACAAAAUUAAGCUGUUGGGACUUGAACAGCUCAAAUUUUCUUGUUUCAGAUCACCAGCUCUUGAGUAAUAGGGAAAUCUGGAGAUUUGAAAAGUACUUGCACUGUCCACAACAUGGCUAAUCCAUAUGUGGAUGAUGCAGAAUUGAUUUAAUUCACUAACAGGGACCCCAUAAUUAUUUGCUGGGCUCUGGGUAUAUUGAUGUGUAGGAAGUUGUACUAUAUGUUAAUAAAUUAUGACUAUUUGGAUAGGCUGAAUUCAUACUAAAUCCAUACUGUAGUUCAACAAAAAACAACAUGUUUAUAUACAUUUGGAAACUGCAAUGAUAGGAAACAUUUGGAAGAAAGGGAUUUUGCCCUAGAAUAACACAUAAGGAAAGCAGAGAAUUAGAGUAUAUUGUUACUGAAUGUUCCAGAGACUUCUAGUGAUUUUAACACUUAUUAAGUAUAGCAUGUUGAUGGGGAGAUUUGUUUCUCUAAAGAUCACUUUGUUUUAUUAAAUCCUAAUAGAAAAUACCCUUGAAAAUCCUAUCUCAUUUAUUCCUGUAACAAAUUUAUUGAGCACCUACCUACUAUAUGCCAAGAAAUGUAUUAGCCAUCAGGCAGAGAGCUGUUCAAAUGGUAGAUAUGAUCUGUGCUCCUGUGAAACUUCUAGUGGGGAGAGCCAAACAAUAAACAAUAUUCCUUUUUAACUCUAGGUUAAUGCAGAAAUGGAUAAAGCCCAUGUUGCUUUUGGGAGAGGUGAGUUGUGUCUCUGAAUCACAUGCAUUUCAUAGGGGGAAAAAUGCCCAAAUACUAAGGAGUAGCUCUUAGCCUAUGUCCGUUCGCCUCAGCUUAAGUUGUUUUCCCUCCCACUGGCUGGGCAGCAUAUUUGUGUUUUACCUGGUAAAACAGUAAAUUUCGUACCUUCUAUAAUUGGCAUUCUUCAAAGAGGUAGAACUUUGAUUUUUUUGUAGAAUAUUAAAACAAGCUUUCUUAGGUUAAAGAAGUGAUCUUACUACGAACAGCAAUGGUUUCAUGAUGUGUAAUUGCUUUAUGUUAUCUUUCUGCUAUAGAAUGUUUCCUGGAGAAAGGUACGGUUUUUAGUAAUAAGAUAAAUUUACUUUAGUCCUGCAAAUAAGGUGAAAUCUUAUGUCCAGUAUCUCACAAAGGAGAACUGACAGUGCCACUUUUAUAUUUAAUGUCAAUCUCAUUAGACAAAAAUGAAAUAUAGUUCCUAGGGUUUCCAAUUUAAAAAGUGAAAUAAUAAAUAUAUUCACUCAAACAUUUUCUCAGUGCCAUAUGCAAGUUACCAUGUCCCAGAAGCUGAUACAGUUUGAAGAAGGAAAUAUAUAAGUACUGUAAGCCUGUGAUAACUAAAAGCAACAUACUAAAAAGUGAAGGUACAGAUAAUUGGAACAAAUUUAAUAGCGUUUAAAAGUGUAUUUGGUAAUUUCUCCAGGAGGUGGCACUGUUGAGUUGUUUUUUCUUUUCAGACAGUAAGACAAUAGACCAUUCAUCUUUGUGUCACCCAAACAAAGAAAUAUUCCUUUAUAACCCCCUUUCCUCCCCCCACCUAAUCACAUGCUACUGGAACUGACUGUCUUGUGAUCUACUCCCAUAGUUGGCAUAGAUUUAAAAAUAAUCUUUUUUAAAUUAAUCUGAUAGUAGUUAUGGAAAGGAACAAAUUGUUCACCAAUUUUCAUCAGCUUUAUCUUUUCAGUCCAGUAACUGAGAACUUAAAAAGACUAUUCUAGUGAUUUUACUAUCCUGCUCAGAUGGCAUUCAAAAACAUUUUUCACUUCUCACGUCUUGGAAAAAUUUGUAAAUUCGUUAAGUCUUUUUGUUUGAAAGUUAAUGUGACUGGAAAUAUUUUAAUGUAAAUAUCGGGUUGGGUGCAUUGUAUCAUUUUGCUCUACAAUGACUAUAUCCUCAUUUGGGUUUAUGGCCAGUUUAUAAUUAAAAGUAAUCUUUACUUGC